AGGUGGGUUCAUUUCCGGCCCGCGCGGCACCCUGGGGCGGCUGUGGCGGAGCGGGGCCUUCGCCGGGAGCCUGGAAGACUUUCGGGUCGGGGCGUGCGCCGGCGCGCUGGGGCAUUUCUACAGAAUAUGCUCAUCUGGAAAAAGAAAGUCAUUACCAAUUUGUAUCUUUCGUGGAGGCUGAUCUCACAGCUCUGAAAUCACACUGAAGGAAGAAUGUGAAUCUUCAAACUUGUUUGCAGAGUGGGCUGGGGGGGGGUGUCUUUCCUUUGAUAUUUGGAGGCAUAGCAACAGAUUACUCUCCUCAAGAGCAUUCAGAAAAUGGUUUUACUUAAGUGAUCUAUGAUCACUCAACUCAACAAAGUAAAAAACCCUAGUGCCACAAGCCUCUAAAUACAUAUGCAUGUAACUGCAUUUGAGCGCACUGUUAAAACCAGUGGUCCUACCUCUAAAUAUAAAAGUUAAGGAGGAAGAGAAGUUUGUGGUGCAGAGGGUGCGAACUCAUAAGGGUGUUCCUGCAGAUUCUGUAUAUGGGAGAAGUGUGUUUUAUUUAAAUGCGUCUGGACAAUAAAACUGUAGUAAAACCA